rnacentral:rRNA from 1 species
CCACGUGUAGCAGUGAANUGCGUAGAGAUGUGGAGGAAUACCGAUGGCGAAGGCAGCCCCCUGGGAUAAUACUGACGUUCAUGCUCGAAAGCGUGGGUAGCAAACAGGAUUAGAUACCCUGGUAGUNCACGCCCUAAACGAUGUCGAUUAGCUGUUGGGCAGCUUGACUGCUUAGUAGCGUAGCUAACGCGUGAAAUCGACCGCCUGGGGAAUACGGUCGCAAGAUUAAAACUCAAAGGAAUUGACGGGGACCCGCACAAGCGGUGGAUGAUGUGGAUUAAUUCGAUGCAACGCGAAGAACCUUACCUGGUCUUGACAUGUACGGAACCUUCCAGAGACGGAAGGGUGCCUUCGGGAGCCGUAGCACAGGUGCUGCAUGGCUGUCGUCAGCUCGUGUCGUGAGAUGUUGGGUUAAGUCCCGCAACGAGCGCAACCCUUGUCAUUAGUUGCCAUCAUUUAGUUGGGCACUCUAAUGAGACUGCCGGUGACAAACCGGAGGAAGGUGGGGAUGACGUCAAGUCCUCAUGGCCCUUAUGACCAGGGCUUCACACGUCAUACAAUGGUCGGUACAAAGGGUAGCCAAGCCGCGAGGCGGAGCCAAUCUCAUAAAACCGAUCGUAGUCCGGAUUGCACUCUGCAACUCGAGUGCAUGAAGUCGGAAUCGCUAGUAAUCGCAGGUCAGCAUACUGCGGUGAAUACGUUCCCGGGUCUUGUACACACCGCCCGUCACACCAUGGGAGUGGGGGAUACCAGAAGUAGGUAGGGUAACCGCAAGG